AUCUCCGUAAAGCGCCUGGCGAUGUAGCACAUUGUAGAUCAGACGACAAAGACCGCCAGAAAUUGUUUGUCUCAUUUUUGUUGUUUCUUCCAUAACAGAUAUGUACAACAGUUGCUUAAACAGAUUUGUUAAUAUUUUUAACGUUUUUACAGGUGAAUGGUUAGGUUUUAUGUACUAUAUAGUCCAUUUUCGCUUCGAUAGACGAAUUGAAACAGGUGGGUGGGGAAUGCUGUUUAUACGUUACGUGAUUAGAUUGGUCAGUUAUUUCUGUUUGUGCAAAAAUUACUAAAACUAUUGGUGUUCUUUUUCACGGAUUUGUAUUCAAAUCACUUUGGGGUAGUUUUAAGUUGUAUCGUUUGUUUCCUUGUUAAGGAUUAAAAUAAUUUAAAUUUGUCUUUCAACUGGUCCACCAGGGCAGGAGUAUUUCUGUCCACACACACUUUCUAACAACAAAUUGAAGUAAAAUCUUAUUUACAUUUAGUGAUGUAGGAAAUGGCGCAUGAUGUCCAAUGAUCAGCUAUGGGAUUGACUAUAUGUUUAUACCUGUCUGAUAAUGCAUGUAUAUAAAUUAACAAUUUUUAUCUAGGGGCCCAGACUAUUUUACAUUAGUUAUUUAGGCAUUUCUUCUAGAAAGCUUGGGCCCUACCCAAAAGUUAGGACCAUUGCGACUGGAUCCCUGUUAUUUUAUAUCCCUGUAAUGGAAGCACGAUGGGCACACUAACAAAGUUUGCACUCUUACCCUAUGCUACGACCGGAUGUAAACAAUACGUUCGCACAGGGCAUGCGCGAUUAUUAAAUCCCACCCAUUUUAUUCGAUUAAAUUCUAGAACAACCUCUACUUUCGGUUUCAAUUUUGCUGACAAGGAACAGUUUGAGUCAACGUAAGUGUUAAUUUUAAUAGCAAUGUCCAAAACUUUGCACUACACGGCGUAAUUUUCAUUACAUAUCGGGUAUUAUUACCGUCAUGGUAGUUUUUAUUCCAGUCGGUCAAAAUGACGGUACACAUUUACAUGUAAACAAACAGAUUUAACUUCUCAGACAAUUUAAAUAAGGAAUGGACACACGGUAAACUCUGUUGCAACGUAAAGUAUAUUCAUAAACCUACUGUUUGUGAAAAAUUGUCUCCGUGUUCAAAUAAAUUUCAAAAACGGGGAAAAAAGCAGUCUUUUACCGAUACCCUGCAACUGAACCUUAUUAUUCUGACGAAUUAAAUUGACUUUAUAACGCUCGUAUACAAUUAUUUAUUGAUCGAUUUUCAUUAUAUUUAUUUUGUAAUACCUAUCAUUCAAUAUGCAAUCACACAAAACCAAGUUUUCCUACAUUCAAUGAAAUUGUAAGUUAGGACGAGCUUUCAAAACGAACAGAUAGCAAUUUCCAACACUCUUACCGAAACUCCAACAUGGCGGCUCAACCUGGCUCAUUUGCAUAAUUUAUUCAUAAAUGCAGGAGCAUAGAACUUUCAGUUUGUUAGUGGGGCAGGUAUUAAUAAUUGUCAUUUAACAGUAACUGUAUAAACCUUUUGAUUGAAAUUUCCUAUAAACCCCCACCCCCCUAAAUUUCUUUAUUUUCAAUAUUUUAUAAACUUUAGAAUGAAAAGACAAAUAAACAUAUAUAGUUCUAUAUUAUUAUCACACAUUUAUAAUAAAUGUUCCUUUGUAAGGGUGCAACUAUUCAGCUUUCUCUGGAUUUGAUUCUUAAUUCCAUUUAAAUUUCGAUUUGAUUAUUGAGGCUAAGUUAACAUUAAUUUUAUAUAGGGAAUACUUUAAAAAUAAUUUUUAACUACACUUAAACUUUAUUUAGGACAGCAAAGAAAAACAUACUGAAUAAAACUUUUAAACAACAUAGCUAGAAAACAGAAACCAUAUCAUGUUACAUUCAACGUGUUUUGAUUUGGAUAAGCAAGAACACGUUGUCAAGUAAAGAAACGCUUAUAUUAUAUAUAAUAUUCAAAUAUAAAACAUUCAAUUAAUAUCAGAAAGUCAAAGUGUUUUUCCCCUACUUUGAGAAUGGUGCUGGUACAAUUAACGGUACCGGACAGAUUGGGAAAAAAUCCAUCGGUUUGACUUAAAUUGGGAAUUUUAUUUUAGAUGCAAAAUAUUUAUUGGGAAUUUCUUUUAUCCAGGGAGGUGAUGAAAAUUUUGCAUAAUUAUACACUUUAAAAUCAUGUAUUAUUAACUUUAAAGAUUAUUUUUGCUGCUUGAGGUUGAAAAAAAAAUUGAUAAUCAUAACAAUUGUACAUAAAUAAUGUUUAGUAGGUGUGAAACAUAAAGGGGAGCGGUGGCCUAGUUGUUAAGGUGUCUGCCUCUCAACCCAGAGAUCAUGGGUUCGAGCCCUACACGGGUCACGACCAUGUUUCUUCAUAUGACACCAGUACUGGUUGGUUCCAGGAAGCGGACUCGAAAGUGAUUGAUAUAAGUUGCAAGAACUUGUUUCGCAAUCGAGCUAAAAUAAAUAUGUUUAAAACCUUAAACAUAAAGUACGAAAUGAACUGGGUACGAAUAUCACUCAUGUGGUUUUACUUGGUUUUUAUCGUAUAUCACUUAUCAAUACGGAAGGCUCCGAGGCAUGCAUUACUGUUUUUAGAGGUAAUUUUCAGUGUUAAAUUUGGAAUUUAUCAGUCAUGAAUUGGAAAAUUUGCUGUCUAUUUUCUAUUGGGAACGGUGCCGUUUUCCGGUAUCAGUUAUAUAAGGAAAAAUACUGGGUUGUUGUUAAGAUUUUAGUCAUUGACUAGAUUUCUACCAGAAUUUUUUUGUUUUUACUCUUCUUGUGCAAGUUGUGGUUAUAGAGUGUGAUGAACAUAUUGACUCUUACUUUGUAAAACGCUUAGAUACAAAGACAGUUGCUAAAAAAUAUCAAGAUCUCAAGUUUGUUUUGCCCCUGUCUUGCAUAUCUGUAAUGGAAGAACAGUUAUUAUGGAUAAAUACAGGUACUUCAAUAAAAUGUAAUUUUGGGUACUGUCAGAUCUACAUGUUACGCUACAAGUUUCUUCUCAUAAUUACAUAUUUAACAACUAGUAUGGCUAAUGAGUACAAAAUUUUGGAGGUGUUACACUACAAGGCAGAAGAGAAUAUCUGUCCUUGCAAGCAGUCUUGAAGACCUUCUGAAUAAAGCUGGUGACAAGCAACAGUUGCAAGGAGGAAGAUGGAUUGUUGUGCUGGAAAAAGAUGUGACAGAAAUGGAAGAAAACGCCAUCCUUGACAUAUUCAAAACUAAGUAUUGAUGCUUCUAGAAGACCAACAAUUAUGAGAACCAGAUAUUCCAAAAGACACUGUUGUAAUGUUUGGGCAGACACCCAAGAUGCCAACAUGUCAAAGACUGAGACAGAGUCCACAACUGUUACCACAGCAACAGAAAUUGUAACACCAUCUUAUGUUGUUGGAAAUUAAAUUAAUUCUUGCAGUAGGCCACAUCCAACCAUUUGUUGACAAUCUAGAGAUAUUGUUUGAAGCAGUAGCUACACUUAAACCUGGAGGAAAAGAGUGCAAAGAUGAUUUGGACGUUAUAAGAGCCAUAGAAAGUAAUACAGGAUUCAAACAUGGAAAGGGGUGCAAGACUAGAUAAAUUGUAGUUCUACAUAAGGAUAUUGAAGAAGCUAAUCUGUCAAAGGUCCUGUCAUCACAGCCUAAUACUCCUCCAAGUGAAGCCUUGUUUUUAUUUUUAACAACAUAGAACUGGACAAACAGUAUAUUGUUGGAGACCAGUGCAAGAUACCACUUGAGACAGAUAGCCUCAUGGAAGGGCUAUUCUUAUUGAUAAGCUGGUAUUAUAUAAUGGAUCUAGAAAAUCCCACUGCUUUUCACAACUCCUUGGAUUCAUGCAACAAACAGUAUUUAAACAAGCCUUUCUUAGUCACAAGUCGGCUGGGUAUUUACACUUUGUGGAAAAAUUGGAAAAACUAAUGAACAAAUAGAACCAACAUUUUAAAUUAAAUUCAACCUUCUGUGUCAUGGACAUAUUAUUGACUUCUUAACAGCUUACAUUUUACCAUGAAAAAACCUGCUUUUUUUGCACUUACAAAAACAAAGGUGCAGAAUAGCUGUGUGGUAACCAUCAGCUGAUCAGUGCCUUUAUUUUUGCUGCAUAGAUGGUGCAAUCCCUCCCCUUCCAGGCUUCCUUAAUCAGACAUUUAAAUCCUCUUGAUGUCUGAACAUGAAGCUGUAUAUUUUGGCUCUAUUUGAAAUAGCAAAUGUCAAGUGUCAAUAUUUUUCAAAACAGCUAAGACUAUGCUUCUUUUAAGGAACUUUUAAAUCUAGUGAUUUAUCAAAUUAUUAUUCACUAGCAGAAAGGAUUGACUUAAUAAUGCAGUGUUUAAACACUAAUUUUAUUAUUUAUGACAUCAGUAUGUUAUUGCAGACUGUGACAUUUUUAUGUCAAUGAAGCAUUAAAAUGCCAUAUAUUAUAAAUUGUUUAUUACAGUUAAGAAGUAUUAGUGCUAUUUGUUGUUUGCAAAUGUUAAUAUGCUCUUAUUUUGUACAUGCUAUGUAGUAAGUUUAAUAUAUUGCAUUGAUGUCUUAAAUAAGUUUGUAUUUUGUUGAUGUAUUACUGUCUAACUUUAACACAUGCUCACUUCAUUAUCAUAUCAGAUUUAUUAAAUUUUCAUUUACUGAUUUCAAGUGGUAAGCAGAAUUAUUUACAGAGAUCACUAGUUUUCACUGAUCAGGCACCUUUGUUGUGCAUUUAAAUUUUUGGUGUUUUCGGAGUCAAAGAAAUGAUUUAUCAAAAUAUUGUAUAAAGUUGCAUUGUAACAUUUUAGAGUGCUAAAGUGUACCAUUUUUUUGUCUAAGCCUUAAGCGCACCACAACAAAAGAUAUUUAUGAACCAUCAGGAUAUAUACUGUUACUGAUGAAAAAUAGAGCACUAGUGCACAGACUUUUGACUCCCCCCCCCCCUCCGGACAGUCAACAUUGAAUGACCGAUUUUUGACACUGUCUGAAAAUACUGUUUGUUUUUUUCCAACCCAAAUAUGAUACAUAUAUGUGCCAAAAACCUUGUUUUUUACAUUUUACAGGGAGGUAGACUUUACUGUGUAAAAAUUUAAAUCCAUUUUAUAUAUGUUUUCAUUUUACCUGAAAUUCUACUGAUAUCCAUAUAUCAAUUUGCUUUUGUUGUUUAAUUGUCUAUUUAUUUACUUAAUUGUUUGCCUAAAUAUAACUGUAAUCUGUUUUAUGUAUUUAUUUUAUACAUUCAUUUUUAAUCCCCUUCUGCAUAGAGGGGAGGGGAUUACAGGAAUGGCCUCAGUCUGUCUUCCAUGUCCACUCCAUAACUUUUUUAAACUGUGAAAAUUUUUUGAAAUAACUUGGCACAAAUGGUCAGUAUGAGACGAUGUGCAGAGCGCAAUAAUCGGGUCGCUACCCCUAAGGUCACAACUUAAGGUCAUAGGUUAAAAAGUCUACCUUUUGUGUCCGCUCCAUAACUUCAACUGAUGAAAAGUUUUUAACAUAACUUGGCACAAAUGAUCACCUUUAUAUCAUGAUGAGCAAAGCACAACAACAAGGUCACUACCUCCAAGGUCAAGGUCACACUUAAAAGUCAAAUGUUAAUGGUCCACUUUUUGUGUCCCCUAAAUAACUUAAUCUGCUGAAAAGUUUUUAAAAUAACUUGGCACAAAUGAUCACCAUUAUAAUAGGAUGUGCAGAGCGCAACAAUCAGGUCACUGCCCCAAAAGUCACAGGUAGAGGUCAAAUAUUCUUGUUUAUAACUUUUUGACAUGGAAGAUUUUAAAUAUUUUAGCAUAAAUAAUCACGACCAUGGCACAACAGCCAGGUUUUUCUCUAAAAGACAUGGUUUGUUAAAGAUCAAGAAGUACAGAUUCCUGUCCACUGCGAAGGGGAUAUAGAUGUCCUUCAGACUGCCUUGUUUUUAAUUGUUUGAAGUUUGAAAAUGAAAAUGCUCUUUUUAAUUUUGUGAUUGGUAACACCAGAAUUUCGGGUAUAUUGCAUUGGAUUGUAACAUGGCUGACAAGGUGACAGUAAAAUUGCCACCUGUAGAAAAUGCUACCUCAGUUGACAGCGUUUUUCCAAAAGUUGUUAACUUUACUGUCACUCUGUCAGGCAUGCAAUAUUAAUUUUAGUCUACCAAAAAAUCUAUUAUGAUAAUGGUAGGGUGUCUUGAUCUAUUUAACAUUUAUGUGCAGUAAUGAAGAACAAUUAGUAUUUAACCUAAAUUUCAAAAUGUUAUUAAAAUGUGUAUAAUAUGUUUAUGUGUCAUUGUUCACAUUUUUUGGUUGAUCGUGUUUUGAAAUAAAACAUGGAAACUAUUAAAA